rnacentral:rRNA from 1 species
GAUGAACGCUGGCGGCGUGCCUAAUACAUGCAAGUCGAGCGAACAGAUGAGGAGCUUGCUCCUUUGACGUUAGCGGCGGACGGGUGAGUAACACGUGGAUAACCUACCUAUAAGACUGGGAUAACUUCGGGAAACCGGGGCUAAUACCGGAUAAUAUAUUGAACCGCAUGGUUCAAUAGUGAAAGAUGGUUUUGCUGUCACUUAUAGAUGGACCCGCGCCGCAUUAGCUAGUUGGUAAGGUAACGGCUUACCAAGGCAACGAUGCGUAGCCGACCUGAGAGGGUGAUCGGCCACACUGGAACUGAGACACGGUCCAGACUCCUACGGGAGGCAGCAGUAGGGAAUCUUCCGCAAUGGGCGAAAGCCUGACGGAGCAACGCCGCGUGAGUGAUGAAGGUCUUCGGAUCGUAAAACUCUGUUAUUAGGGAAGAACAAAUGUGUAAGUAACUAUGCACGUCUUGACGGUACCUAAUCAGAAAGCCACGGCUAACUACGUG